AUGCUCACUUCGGCAGCACAUAUACUAAAAUUGGAAUGAUACAGAGAAGAUUAGCAUGACCCCUGCACAAGGAUGACCUGCAAAUUCGCGAAGCAUUCCAUAUUUUU
rnacentral:snRNA from 1 species